rnacentral:lncRNA from 1 species
AUUGAUUUGAGUACAAGACUGAUGCCUUUGUCUGUGUGAAUGCCUGCCUGGUCGUCUGUGUAUGUGAAUGCCUGCCUGGUCGUCUGUGUAUGUGAAUGCCUGCCUGGUCGUCUGUGUAUGUGAAUGCCUGCCUGGUCGUCUGUUUAUGUGAAUGCCUGUCUGCCUCUGUCCGUCUGUCUGUGUGUGUGAAUGCCUGUCUGUCUCUGAGCAGGGUCCUAAUGCUUCAUAUCAAGCGGUUUACUGCAGGCAACUGGGAGCCAGAGAAGGUGGAUGAUCCCAUAUCCAUCCCUGCAGAACUGACCCUCCCAGCCGUAUGUGGGGCGACAGCCCCUGUCCAGCAUGGAGCCAGGUUGGUUUAGACUCUGUUUGGGGACAUUGCACAUUGGGUAGCCAACACACACCAUGAUUUUCACACACUACAUAUUUCUUUUCAAUGCCAUCAAUUUACACAGGGCAAGCUCCAUGGGGAAAAACAACAUGGACAACACACCUGCAAACUCCCCGAAAGGCACCCUUGAUAGACCAGCUUCAAAUUCCUCUGACCAGCUAGAGAAACCAGCUGUUAGUGAGAAAGAGCAGCAGGCAGCCGCUCUGAGACACCAGCCAGACAAUAUCUACAAAUUGUCAAGUGUGAUCUCACAUCUGGGAGACAACAUGUGUACAGGCCACUACAUCAGUGAUGUUUUGGACAGCCGUGGCAGUGGGUGGCUCUGCCUGGAUGACGCACAUGUCUUGAGGACAGAUGAGGCCAC